rnacentral:rRNA from 1 species
CCUACGGGUGGCAGCAGUGGGGAAUAUUGGACAAUGGGGGGAACCCUGAUCCAGCCAUGCCGCGUGUGUGAAGAAGGCCCUCGGGUUGUAAAGCACUUUCAGUGAGGAAGAACGCCUGGUGGUUAAUACCCAUCAGGAAAGACAUCACUCACAGAAGAAGCACCGGCUAACUCCGUGCCAGCAGCCGCGGUAAUACGGAGGGUGCGAGCGUUAAUCGGAAUUACUGGGCGUAAAGCGCGCGUAGGUGGCUUGAUAAGCCGGUUGUGCAAGCCCCGGGCUCAACCUGGGAACGGCAUCCGGAACUGUCAAGCUAGAGUGCAGGAGAGGAAGGUAGAAUUCCCGGUGUAGCGGUGAAAUGCGUAGAGAUCGGGAGGAAUACCAGUGGCGAAGGCGGCCUUCUGGACUGACACUGACACUGAGGUGCGAAAGCGUGGGUAGCAAACAGGAUUAGAUACCCGUGUAGUA